GAUGAAGAACGUAGCGAAAUGCGAUAAGUAGUGUGAAUUGCAGAAGUACCGUGAAUCAUCGAAUCUUUGAACGCAAAUUGCACUCUCCGGUAUUCCGGGGAGUAUGCCUGUUUGAGGGUCGCUUAACAAACCAUCGAUUUCGUUGCUUUUUUUUUAAAAAGUGAUGUUUAUCGGAUUUGAGCCGUCUUUUUUUUUUAUAUUUAAGUGGCUUAAAAUUGAUUUUUUUGGUACGAUCGAAGCGUAUUUUUAUGAUCAAUUUUUGGUUAAAGAAACGCACACGUACCGUUAUUUAUAUGAUGUAAUACGUUUGACUAUUGGAUUUAGUUCAUUCGUAUACGAUAUUUUUCAAUAUUUGACCUCAAAUCAGGUAAGAACACCCGCUGAACUUAAGCAUAUCAAUAAGCGGAGGA
rnacentral:misc_RNA from 1 species